rnacentral:rRNA from 1 species
GAUGAACGCUGGCGGCGUGCCUAAUACAUGCAAGUCGAGCGAACAGACGAGGAGCUUGCUCCGCUGACGUUAGCGGCGGACGGGUGAGUAACACGUGGAUAACCUACCUAUAAGACUGGGAUAACUUCGGGAAACCGGAGCUAAUACCGGAUAAUAUAUUGAACCGCAUGGUUCAAUAGUGAAAGACGGUUUUGCUGUCUCUUAUCGAUGGAUACGCGCCGCAUUAGCUGGUUGGUAAGGUAACGGCUUAUCAAGGGAACGAUGCGUAGCCGACCUGACAGGGUGAUCGGCCACACUGGAACGUAGACACGGUCCAGACUCCUACGGGAGGCAGCAGUAGGGAAUCUUCCGCAAUGGUCGAAAGCCUUACGGAGCAACGCCGCGUGAGUGAUGAAGGUCUUCGGAUCGUAAAACUCUGUUAUUAGGGAUGAACAAAUGUGUAAGUAACUAUGCACGUCUUGACGGUACCUAAUCAGAAAGCCACGGCUAACUACGUG